CCCUUAGAUGUCCUGGGCCGCACGCGCGCUACAAUGACUUGCUCAGAAAGUUUAACCUGGCCCGGAAGGGAUCUGGGUAAUCUUUUAAAUACAAGUCGUGUUAGGGAUCGAUCUUUGCAAUUAUAGAUCUUGAACGAGGAAUGCCUAGUAAGUGCAACUCAUCAGGUUGUACUGAUUACGUCCCUGCCCUUUGUACACACCGCCCGUCGCUCCUACCGAUUUCGAGUGGUACGGUGAACCUUUUGGACUGGACGCAAGUCUGGGAAGUUAAGUAAACCUUAUCACUUAGAGGAAGGAGAAGUCGUAACA
rnacentral:rRNA from 1 species